CAUGGUUCACGCAUAUUUGAGUGGUAGUCCAAAUAAAUGCAAUAUAGAAAUUUAUGUUUGUUUAUCUAGGUGUUAAUUACCUAGAGAUUGUCCUGGAUUACUUCUUUUUAUAAAGUGUCAUAGGCUCGUGUCAGAACGAAUAAAGCUUGGCCGUGGAACCUUAUCAAUUUGCUAACUAUAGUGCCGGUCUGACCUGAGCAGGGAGGGCAGGGGAAAACUUUGGGGCUUGUUAUGUAUACACACGCCCGCAUUCAACCCACAGCAAAUAAAAUAGUCGUUUUAGAAAAUAUUCCUAGGACAUAAAGGCACAAAUAUAUCUUCAUUGUUUUACAGCCUCUUGUCCACAGCUAUUUAUAAAACAUGUGAUUAUUUAUGCGUUGGGUUAUGAGAAGUUCGCUGGGAGAGGCUGUGAAGGAGGCUCUAUCAAUCCAGUUACCUGGUGCCCUGGAGAGGUGGAGGGAGGGCUUCCCAGUGGAAACUGGGCUGGGACAGGAAGUUGGCUACUGUGAUUUGUCUAACAUGUGUCAACCUCCCGGCUGCUCCCAGAAAAGCCAGACAGAGGGAUGACAAAGUUGAGGGUUAGAGGUCACAUUAAAAAAAAAAAAUCAUGAAUGCACACUGAGAAAGUGAAACCAGAAGCCCCUAAAAAUUGUUCAUCAUACCUUGAGGCAGCCCCUGCCUUUUUCUUUGUUUACAAAGUGAUUUUGGGGUGGCAGUUUCAGUUAAAUGGUUUGGAAGAAACCGAGGGUUUUGGCCAAAAGGUUCUACUUUAAAGAAAUAGAUUUUGUAAGGGCAAGAAGAAUUCCAGACAGAGCUGGGAGUGUCUAAGUUGGGUGCCCGCUUUUGUUGGGGAAGUUUGUUUCCCUUGGGUUUUCUGCCUUGCUUGUCUUCUUUUUCCUACGCACCACACCUCCAUUUUUGGCAAUCAGAUACCAGAAAAUCAAUACAAGUAACUGCGGGUCCCUGUGGGCUGCACCCGGCUGGAUGGACUGUUCUCCUGGGGUUCAGGAAAGCCUAGGGGAGACAGGCACUGGUAUUCAACUGUGCUCGCUUCUCUCCAGCUGGAGCCGAGGGGAGCCAUCGAGACCCCUAAACAGCAAACUCUCCUACCGUGGAAGCUCUCUGCUGGGGAUCUUUCUGAUGAUAAGUGGGCACUGAAUUCACGCAGCCCCAGAAGUGCCUUCUACCUCUCUCUUCACUGUGCCCAGGACCCCAUCUACUGGGCACCCACCUAUGGACCAACAUCUCCGUGGGACAAUUCAACAAAUAUGCGGGAAGAUGUACAUUGAAAGAUGGGUGUUUGUUCUUAAUCUGCCUGGCUCUCCAUAGACAUCAGCUUGUCUAUCUGUUGUGGGGGUGGCCUGAGAGCUGAACUGGACCCAAAAAAGCAAAACAGCACAGCUACUCACGCACUAUGCUCACCCUGGGCCAGACCCGGGGGAGAGCAAAAUAUAUUUCUCACUGAUUCUCACACUGAAUCCUCUGUUAUUCUCAUAACAGAUUGUGGCAGGCCAUAUGUGGAACUUCCGUUGACCAUUCCAGGGAAGCCCAGGGAGGGUGAAUGGAUGAUACAGAAGAGAAGGCUGCAUCCCGGUCACAAACCUGCAAUACAAAUCAGAAGGAAGAAGUUAGCCCUUAAAGGGCCAGCCGAGCCCCAGUGCUGUGCCAUGAAAGGCAUAUUGUCAGGAAUUACAACAUGGACCCAACGGCCCUUAUUUGGAAGAUGCAAAUGCAAGUCUCCUGCCAGACAGACUUGCUCCUAAGUAAGAGUAGCCAUUUGGGAUGCCUGUGCAGGAGGGUGCAAUGGAAGCUUGAAGACCAAGGAAUCCUUUUGUGUCUGUCCACGAACACUCUAGGAAGGAAGUGGGAGGCAUGAAGAGAAUUUGCUACCAGCACACCCUCUCCAGCUUAGCUCAGCUUUUAAUUGGAUCUUUUUAUUUUUUUCUUUUGAGAUGGAGUCUUCCUCUGUCGCCCAGGCUGGAGUGCAGUGGCACAAUCUCUGCUCACUGCAACCUCUGCCUCCUGGGUUCAAGCGAUUUUCCUGCCUCAGCCUCCCGAGUAGCUGGGACUACAGGUGCCCAACACCAUGCCUGGCUAAUUUUUGUAUUUUUAGUAGAGAUGAGGUUUCACUAUGUUGUCCAGGCUAGUCUCAAAUUCCUGACCCCAAGUGACUUGCCGGCCUUGGCUUCCCAAAGUGCUGGAAUUAUAGGCAUGAGCCACUGCGCCCGGCCAUAAUUGGAUCUUGAGCCAUCACUUAACUUAGCUGUAAAAUGGAGACAGUGUGCCCCACCCAUCUCAUGAUAGAGGGAGGAUCACUGAAGACAAGGUCUUGGGAAAGUCCCAGCACCAAACCUCAGGAAGGGCUGGCAGGUGGAGGAGGAGAAUGAUUGUGUUUCACCGAGCCAUUAGCUUUACUCCUCCUUCUCUGGCUUCUGAGCUUUAGAAUUUAUCUGUAUUUUAACCAGCCUGUAUAAAUAGAUAUACCAGGUUUUAUGAGAGGCUGCCUCAAAUCCCUUUGGAAAUAGGGUGGGUAUAAAAUAAAAACCAAUACAGUAAUUUCUCAAGAGAAAUCUAGCUGCGAUGAUCAACAUCAAGGAGUGCCUUUGUUUCUCUCUGGACUUGGAGCCACUUUGAAAUAAUGAGGCUUCCAGAAGCAGGAAGUUUGUCCUGUCCUUGAACCCCCAGGGUGCAUGUUCUGGGGAAAGGAGAAGGUUCAAGUCUCCACGCAAAGGAUUUCAGGCAUGUUCCCCAUGGUGCUGAGGUGGACCUCUAAGCCCUGGCCUCCUCUGUCCCAGCCUCUAUCACACUGCAGCCCCAGAGCACCCCCUCCACUCACCACCAGGGCGUCCUCCCCUUGACCUGCUCACCCCUCUUUCUGGUCAGCUUAAUCAUUUCCACCACUCCCAAGACCUCUGGACCAAUCAGCUCUUCACCAGGUCAAGAUCAAUGUUUAACAACUGAAUAAAAGAGGGAAUCCCAUCGUUUAAUUGGAAACAAAGAAUGGAUUGUAGAAAGAUCUUUAUCAUCUGGGUAAAUUUCGAAGUCAAGGUGUGACAGUUCUGAUUAACUGAUUAAGCUGAUUCACUUCGCCUGGCUUGCUUGUCUCCCCACCCUCUGCUUGCAAUCCUACAAGACCUUUAGGGCCCACUGCAGGGCUGGUACAGGAAGCCUUUACAGGUCCCUUGCAGAAUGCCCCCUAAGGUUAUCUGUCUCUUAUCCCUGGGGCACUCAGCACCUCUCUUGGGUUUAGCUGUGUCUGGUCUCCUUCCUUCCAGGGAGCUGACCAUCCUGUUGCUGCUGUUACCUGCUCUGGGUGCCUCUGUGUUUAUUUCACAGUGUAAGACCUGGCAUAGAUUAGGUGCUCAAUGACUAUUUUGUUUGUGAAUUGGUGGAUAGAUGACAUAAACUGCAGACGCGUUCUUGGACAGCUGGAAAGGGAGGAGACCCUUGGGAUUUGGAAUGCCACUGACUGCCCUGUACAGAGAGCACUGUGAGGCUGGUGUCAUACAAGUGUCCAACAUCAAGGAUUUUGCCCCUAGACUCAGAAAGGGUGUGGAAAAAAGCAGCAGGAAGAGAGGCAGGGAUGAAUGAACUUCUCCUGGGCAGGACAAGGAGAGGAGUCCUCAUUGACUGAGGGUCAGAGAAGCUGCGGCCCUCAGGGCUGGCUUUCAAUUUGGACACAGGAUCAGAGUGAUGGGGGCUGGCAUGGCCAGGGAUGGGAGGGAUGUCAGGGGCUGCCACCCCAGGCCAAACGCCACCCAAAGAGACUCUUUACAUAGAGAGACUUGUGUAUUUACCUUUAGGGUCUUUGAGCUUGUGAAAUGCUUUUCUACUUGGAAGACACAAGGUAGAAAAGCAGCCGCUUAGAAUUGGAGCAAAAGAGAUCUUGGGAGCACAGGUGGGGGACGGGAGAGAACAGAGGAGGAGGUGAGUCUUCAGAGGGGACAUUUCCAUGGGCCCUGAUUGUACGU
rnacentral:lncRNA from 1 species